GCCUGGGUAGCUCAGUUAAGCACCUGACUUUGGCUCAGGUCAUGAUCUCACAGUUUGUGGGUUCAAGCCCCGCAUCAGGCU
rnacentral:tRNA from 1 species